GUUUUGGGAGCGCCCUGAAGAGAGCUCACGAGGUUUCGUUUGGGAAGAAUCAACUCCUUGGUGUGACGCGAAAUUUAUAGAUGUGUCUGACUUCAGCACAUUUCGGGGAAAGCGUGUGUUUCUACAGUCUGUGGAACAUGGAAUCAAACCAGAAUAUGUUGGCAUAACAGGCCCGUCAAACCGGUUCUUCUGUAGAUCCAGAACCCGUCCAACCAGUCUGCAUCAAAGGCUUGCCCAACAAGCUGCAGCGGCUCAGCUCUGCUAAGCUUGUACCGGAAAACAACUCCAAGACCAUGUGGAUUCCUGCAACAGAGAGGAAUUGAUAGGAGUGCUCCAGCCAUGAAGACAGAAGAGAAACAGUCCAGAGAUGGAAGACGCUGACCAUGCCUUGCCAUACUAGCAGUCAGCAGAUGUGCGUCACUGCAUAUUGCCCAGGACCAAACCAGAGAGGGUCGGACCUGCAUUACCACCAUUUGUCCACCAUCCAGAACUGAAAUAUCAUUGCUGUUAUGUACACAUAAACAACUGUUGGACAUAGAAAUCGGGACUCAAAAGAACUGUUGGCCCAGAAGGAAACUCACUAUAGACUGAUUCAUUUGCCUCUCAGCAUAACCAUUAUUGCUUGUCUCAUUUUCGGUUCCUAUAAGUGUAUUCCUAGUAUCACAUGAGCUCACUCAUCUAGGGGAAAUGAUGAACAACAUAGACUGAAGAACAAGAACAGCAUUGAUCAGACUGUCAGACCUCAGAGGGAAUGUAGGAGAGGGUGGGGACAAGGGA